CCACAUAAAAUCACUCUUAAAUUCAAUGUGUUUGAAUUGGCCAUGCUGCCAUGCAUCCAAUUAUUUGGGCCAUCCUAUGCCUCCAUCUUCAAUCGGGCCAAUGUUUACAUAUCUCAAGAGAGAAGUCUUGUUUGACGAAGCCCACUUCUUAACCUAAUCUUAGUCCUUCGUUUAUCUCACUCCUCACCAACGGCCGCGUCUUGUUCUUCUUCCUCCUCCGGCACAUCUCAAUCUUCUUCCUCUGACCAGUGCUCCCUGUCGACUGUCGCGAUUCUCACGUGGGUGCUUGCUCGCCAUUCUCUGACUCACGGUCACAAAUUCACGGUGCUCGCUGAUCUCGGUGACCCAAUCUUUGCUUCAGCCUCCAGGUUGGAUUGAUUGAACAGAGAGGGUGAAAAUGCCAUAUCUUAGAAGAACGCGCAGUUGGCCUCUACUAUCACGUGAAAAGUUGACUUCUGAAUCUCAACAAUUACAAUCUUAUCAUGUCACUCAGGUAUUAGUGAAACAUUUCAAGAAGCCAAGGAAGCUGUGGCGUCGUUCAUCUCCAUCGAUAUUUAGUAAAUGUCCGAUGACCUUGGGCACUAUAAAACAAUUAAAUGAAAUUAGCUCAGAAUUGGAUGAAACUGAACUUGGAAUCGCUAUGGCUAUGUUGAUGAAUGAUAAAGAUAAACAAUUAAUUUUCUGUUAUGUUGUAAGUGCAAGAGUAGAUUGGAUAAAGUCACUAGUUAAGGAGGGGAUGGAGGAGGGGAUUCAAAGGCUUAUUGACAGCUCAUUGCUCAAUCCUAAUGAAGAUUGAUGUGCAUCCCAUAUAACCAUGAGAUGGAAUCCUAAAAGACUAUGGAGUUAGGACAUCUAAAUUAUAAUAUUUAUAACAUAAUUUUAGUUAUUAUUUGUUGUACUAUAAUUUGGAUAAUUUACUUUAUUGACAAGUGAGACAUCCUUGCAAAAUUAUUCAUGUUAAAUCCAUGAUGUAAUAAUUAUUAUAAGAUUGUAUGUGUGUCAUGUAUAAUGAUGAAAUGUUUAUGAUGAUGAUGAAAUAUUUAUGUUAGAUUA